GAUAGGGAUAUGGGGAAUGGGAGGGUCGGGUAAAACAACCAUAGCCAAAGCCACCUACAAUCGAAUUUGUCGUGAAUUCAUUGGUAAGUGUUUUAUAGAGAAUAUUAGCUAUGCUUGGGAUCCAGAAAAUAAGAAUGAAUGGUAUGUUGCUUUGCAAGAAAAUCUUCUUUAUGAUGUCCUAAAAUCCAAGUUGGAGGUGAAGAGCGUUGGGAUGGGAAGAACUAUGAUAGAGAACGGAUUUUCUGAAAAAAAGUUACUCAUUGUGCUUGAUGAUGUGAAUGACUUUGGCCAAUUAGAAAACCUAUGCGGGAGUCGUGAAUGGUUCGGUCAAGGAACUGUGAUAAUCAUUACAACUAGAGAUAUUAGCCUGCUGAACCGACUCGAAGUUAAUUAUAAGUAUGAAACGAAACUUUUGAACGACAAUAAGUUACUUGAGCUUUUAAGUUGGCAUGCCUUUAGAGAAGCAAUACCAAUAAAAGAAUUAAAUGAACUUGCAAGAGACAUAGUUGCUUAUAGUGGAGGGCUACCACUAGCUCUUGAGUUCCUUGGUUCCUAUUUAUGUGAUAGGACAAAGGAAGAGUGGGAAAGUGUAUUGAGAAAAUUACAACGAAUUCCCCCUCGUAAACUUCUGAAUGUAUUAAAAAUAAGUUUUGACGAUUUACGUACUACGGAAAAGGACAUAUUUCUUGAUGUAUGUUGUUUCUUUAUUGGCAAAGAAAGAGACUACGUGACAGAGAUAUUAAUUGGUUGUGGGCUACAUGCUGAUAUUGGAAUAGCAGUUCUCAUAGAACGUGGCCUCAUAAAAGUUGAAAGGAACAAUUGAAAUGCACCCUUUGUUACGAGACAUGGGAAGAGAAAUUAUUCAUCAAGAAUGGUCAAAGGAACCGGGGAAAAGAAGUCGAUUGUGGUUGCAGGAUGACGUAAAAGAUGUAUUGAAAGAGAAUACAGUAAGAACAUUAUUUAUAUAAUUUUGAAACUUCUUUUGAAAGUGUUUUCCUUCUAAGUGUAAUGCAUGUGUUGUUAAGUUGUUUAUCUUUGCUAUAUUCAUCACAGGGGACAAGAGCUAUCGAAGGAUUGUCCCUGAAACUGCAUUCCAGUAGUAGAGAUUGCUUGGAAGCUUGUGCUUUCAAGGAAAUGAAGAGACUAAGACUGCUACAACUUGAUAAUGUACAACUUAGUGGAGAUUAUGGGCACAUUUCUAAACAACUGAGAUGGAUUUGUUGGCGAGGAUUUCCUUAUAAAUACAUUCCAAUCAACUUUCAUUUGGAAAAUGUAAUUGCAAUUGAUUUCAAGCAUAGUCGUCUCCAACUAGUCUGGGAACAACCCGUGGUAUUCAUUACAUGCCCUUUUCUUUUAAAACUAAUAGAUUAAUUACAAUAAAAUUAGUAUAAUUGGUUCUGUUUAUAACUAUUGCACUUUUUAUCUUUCCUAAUCUUUUGUCGAAAAACUAUGCUUACAGGUUUUAGAGCGAUUAAAAUUCCUUAAUCUUAGUCACUCCAAGUACUUGAAAGAAACACCUGACUUUUCAGGACUACCAAGUCUUGAAAAACUCAUUCUAAAAGAUUGCCCAAAUUUAUGCGAAGUACACCAAUCCAUUGGACGUCUCAGGAAUCUACUACUCAUAAAUUUGAAGGACUGCACAAGUCUAAGCUAUCUCCCAGAAGAGGUAUAUGAGUUGAGAUCUUUAAAAAUUCUCAUUCUCUCUGGUUGUUUAAAGUUUCCCCCUAUACAUAUAGCAAAGGUGAAAUCCUUGGCAACUAUAAUUGCUGAAAACACAAAACCAAGCGCCCUUUGAUCAAUUGUAAGCUAUAACAAUAUCAGAUAUAAAUCCCAACAUGAAUUUGAAUGAUUGUUGGUAAAUAUUUGUUGUUACACUACACGUAGCAUUUAUUUGUUGUUAGACUAAAUUUUAGGAGAAUAAUAACAAUCAAUUUGGGAAUCUCAAUUUCUUUUUUUACUGCAAGUAUUAUAAAUAAUUGGCGGUUCGUAUAUAUUGAGAAUAAUAACGUUUACUUUUAUUUCAACUCGUAUAUUCUUUCUCAUUCAGAAUUUUAUUUCCUCUGUUUUGUUUUGCUACCUAACAUUAUUUUGUAAAACAACAAUGGUAUCAUAAGAACGUUAUUCAAAUUAGGAGGAACCAAUAUGAACUUUUAUUAUUAUCGAACCUUUUUAUUGCACGUACAUUACUUUAUUGUUACUCCUUUCAAGAAGUCUUAUAAUUUUAUUUUAUAAUAAUACCAUCUGACGAUCCCUCUUAUGUUUGCUUGGCCAUUUGAAAAACUAUGUUUCAAAAAUGUCAUUAUUAGCUCUUUUCAAAUUCUUUGUUUCUAAAUAAUUUGUUCUUUCAUCAUUCUUCGUUUUUACUACAUGAACUUUUCUAUUUGAUCACAUUGGUAUAUCUCUCUAUAUAAAUGUUAAUCCAUACAUAAGUAAGAUAGCUUUCGUGCAGCAAAAUGAUUAUCGUGUUAACCAUAAACCAGAGGGGUAAAUUGGUUUUAAAAUUUUCUCUCAAUUUUAUCUUAUUCAGCGGUUAAUUUAAGCAAUUAAAAUAGAGUAAGGGAAGAGAAAAAUUGCACACAUAAUUUUAUAGUAGUUCGGAUUAAAAGAAUUCUACGUCUAGUUGCUAAUCUCACAAAGAGAUCAAUGUUCCUCUAUCACAAAAUCAAUAAACUUUACAAUAACACACAAAUAACAAGUUUAAGGUUUAGAAAACAUCUUUCUUGUUACCAUAAGAGAUCAUACUCACUUCCCUUUAACACCUCAAGGGAUGAACACCUCUUCUGAAUGUUUUAUGAAGGACGAUAGACUUCACUCAACAACAAUAGUCGCACUUAAUCACACCUACAAUGAAAGUUCUCUCUCUUGCCCACACCAACCUUCCAAGCCAAUUCACAGAGUUACAAAAACCCUAGGUCACACUUCACUUUAGUUAAAAAACGUGCAGUUGUUUGUUUUGAACAAGGGUCUAUAUAUUUUGAACAAGGGUCUAUAUCUUCUAUAUAAAGACUUCUUUCAAGGACACCUCCAAAAAUUCCUUGGCAUACCUUUCACACGUGAUAAUCUAUUAUCCCACUUAGGUAAUUGAUUAUACAUUUAAUGAAUGUAUAACGACAAAAAAGUAGAAAAUAAUAAUCUAAUAAAGACUAAUAAAGACAUAAUACAUUAACAAUUAGAAAUGGUAGGGGGGAAGAACAUUAAUGUUGAAGCUAGUCACACAAGUGAGACAUACUUCCCAUAUCGAGUAUAUAGGAGGCAUGAGGAUGACAACAAUCUAGGACCAGAUCAAAUGAUGACCAUAGAAGAAAAUGAGAUUGUUAGGAGAAUGACCAUAGUGGGAUUAUCGUACAUUCAAACAUUUCCUUAUGAUAGAACUGCAAUGAAUGGAGUGGUGGAAAUGUUGGACGGCAACAUCAAUUCCUUGGAAAUACCAAAACCUUUGUUUUCUUCUCUUGCUAGAUGAGUUACAUGUUUUUUCUUUGAAUUUGAUUUCAUCGUAUUUUGGUAAAGUCUUUCUAGAUUUAUUGUAAAAUUGAUCACCCAACAAGAAAGAGUAUCUCGUAUAUGUGUUAAUCUUCAUAUUGAUUGCACAACUAGAUUAGUUGUGUAUGAUAACUUGUUGUACUCAGCUAAAUUCAAGUGGAUAAUUCUCAAAAGCACAAGGACAGAAUGAAUAUAUAGUUGAAAAGUGAAAACUGUCAUGUAGGCUUGGAAAGAUGGCUCUAGACUAAUUGCAAGAUUUUAAGAUGUCAUAUAUUUUUCCUAUUCAUGACACCCUUACUAUUGAACUAACACUAUUUGGAUGUUCAUUUGAAAGGACGCUUUGCCCUUUAUUCAAUUUUCCCUAAGAAUUAAAUAAGAAGACGGUAGUUAAACUAUGAAUAGCAGAUGGUUUAAUUCAGUUCAACAAAAAUCAAAGUUUGGAAGAGACAGAUGAGGAAUACUAGGAUGAACUGGUAUGAAACUCACUGAUUUAAAGAAGCAUUGCAUAUUUCCAAUACAAGUUAAAAAUGCAUGAUCUCGUCAAUUAUUUAGCCACGGUUGUAAUGGGCAAGUACUGUUGGAGGUAUGAAGUUCAAAAACCAAAAUAAAGUUCGCCAUCUGUCUUACAGCAUCAUAAAUUUGAUGUGAUUUCAAGAUGGCAGGGUUUACGAGCAUUCAUAGCAUUGUCACACUACGACAAUAUCAACCAGUUGCCUAAUUCUCUUUAAAAAAAAUUCAUUUUCUAUCUUACAAUAAAAUCAAGAGGUUACCUCAUGACAAGAUGCAAGCUGUACAAUGUCCAAACCUUGCUGCUAUGGUGUUGUUCAUACCUACUGGAAUUGCGUCAAGACAUAGACAAAUUGAUUAAUCUGCAUCACAUGGAUCUAUGUGGAGCCAAGUUGAAGGAGAAUUCCCACAAAUGUAAGUUAAAAUGUCUCAAAACAUUAACUUCCUUUGUUGUCAGAAGAAAGGAGGGUAGAUUAAAGGUUUAAGCAUUGAAAAAUUUUACACAUCUACAAGGAAAGUUUUCCAGAUUAAACCUACGACAUCUUGAAGAUGCAAUGAAGCUUUUUAAGGUAAUUUAAAAAUUAAUGAGCUAAUAGAGGAGUUAGAAUUUGAGUGGGUCUUCAACACUGAAGAUUCACGUGUUGUGAGAGAAAUACUUUAGAAGUUGGAACCAUAAUGUUAGGAUUAAUAAUCCAAUACCUCUCACUAAUGUUGUGGACUCUGUUGAUGUAACCACCGAGACAAUUGAGGGACCCCCACACGACCCAGCUGAGGCCACAGCACAUGAAGGAAGGCCACAAAGAGCAUCACGUUUGCCUCAACGUUUCUCUGAUUUUGUUGUGACGUGUCCUGGUCCCAGCACAAAGGGGAAUUCUGUUACGAGGACAUGAGAAUCUUGUUUAUUUGCUUUUUGUUUUUCCCCUGUAAAACGGUUAUGCAAAAAGUGCANGUUAUAUAGCACAAAGUGAAUAAAAAGGGGACGGUGGAUUUUAUGCAGAAAUUACUCUCUUCUCUGAUAAUUCUCAAUCUUCUCUGUAUUACUGCUAAAUUUUCAUCUGACAAAACCUAUCAUUGGUGCUUUCAUUCAGCUUACUCCCUCCAUGACGUCUCUUCCUUCUCACACCGAAGAACUUUCUAAAAUAAACAAACAGCUAGAACAACUUCUCUUAUCCCAAGCCAAUUUUGCUAAUGCCCUUCAUGAUAUAUCAGCACGCACCACCCUACUUGAAUCUAAAUCCACCCCACAAUCACACCACCACACCACCCCACGGCCCCUCAAAUUUGAUCUCCCAACCUUUGAUGGAUUUGACGCAUUAGGGUGGAUAUUCAAGGUGAAUCAAUUCUUCGAAUAUCACCAAACACCCCUUGAGCAGCGUAUACAGGUCUCCUCCUUCUAUCUUGAAGGCCCAGCCUUAGCAUGGUUCCAGUGGAUGUUUAACAAUGGUCUCCUCACUUCAUGGGAGGCUUUCCUGCGCGCAUUGGAACUACGAUUUGCUCCAUCCAAAUACGAAGAUCCCAUAGCUGCCAUAUGUAAGCUUUCUCAAACACAGGGCCUCCAUGACUAUCUAUCUGAGUUUGAGACUCUUGCCAAUCGCAUUUCCGGUUUCCCUCCUUCUUUUUACCUCAGUUGUUUUAUUUCGGGCCUCAAACCGCAUAUCCGUCGUGAGGUAACAACCCUUCAACCGACCGACCUUCCCCAAGCCAUUGCUUUAGCCAAACUUCAGGAUGAAAAAUCCAAACCCACACCAAGCACACCCACCAGAUUCUUCCGCCCUCCACCCACUUCACCUAACCCAUCUCCCGUGCCCAUAUCCCAAAUGCUCCCACCUCUUCUCCCUACACCACCCACAAAACUACCCAUUCGGAGACUCACUGAAGCUGAGAUGCAGGUUCGGAGGGACAAAAACCUCUGUUUCAAUUGUGAUGAGCGAUAUACCCGAGGUCAUCGUUGUAAACCUCAGUUCCUCUUAUUUACUUGUUUCGACACUGACGACCCACCGGCGGAACUACCCAUCGAUGAUAGUGUUACUACACCGAACGAACUAGAGGCAGGCCUCAUUAGCCUUCAUGCCUUCUCGGGCCAGUGGAGCCCUCGUACUUUUCGGAUUUUCGGGUCCAUAAAUGGGUACAGUGUUCAGAUCUUGGUGGAUAGUGGGGCUACCCAUAAUUUUAUCCAAAAUCGAGUGGCCCAAUUUUUACAAUUGCCAAGAUAAUCGACACCAAGCCCAUUACGAGUAAUGGUCGGAAAUGGUGAUUUCUUACCUUGUUCGAAUUUCUGUCCCAAUGUCACCCUUCACUUAGACCAGCACCAAUUUCCCAUUGAUCUCUACCCUUUAGACCUCUCAGGCACAGAUGUUGUAUUGGGAGUACACUGGCUACAAUUAAUCAGCCCUUUCCAUAUGGACUACAAUGGUCCAUUUAUGCGUUUUAUGUGGAACAAUUCCUUGGUGGAGUUACACGGCAACCAAGACCCAAAUCCUAUACCCAUCUCAGCCCAUCAACUAAAAAGACUGCAAACCACCAAUAGAGUAGAGGCUUUAUUCCAACUUUCCCUACAACCUCUCCCCACAACACCUUUACCCUACCCCCACGACACUACCCUUAAUUCCCACCCAACCACUACAACCCCACUCCUUCCCAACGCCUCUGCACCUCAAUUACAAGGCCUUAUUUCCAAAUAUUCUUCACUGUUUACAAUCCCUACAACUCUUCCCCCUUCACGCCCCACUGACCAUUCUAUUAACCUCGCCCCAAAUUCAUCCCCCAUCUUUGUCCGCCCAUAUCGAUACCCUCACUUUUAGAAGCACGAAAUCGAAUCUCAAGUUCAAAAGAUGCUGGAUUCCGGUUUUAUUGUGCCUAGUAAUAGCCCUUUCUCUUCCCCAAUCCUCCUUGUUAAAAAGAAGGAUGGCACUUGGCGUUUCUGCGUUGAUUACAGAGCAUUAAACUCCAUCACUGUAAAAGAUAAAUUUCCAAUUCCCACUGUUGAUGAGCUUCUCGACGAGUUGGGUAAUGCCCGUUGGUUCUCGAAAUUAGACCUCCUUUCGGGAUUCCAUCAGAUUUUAAUGGUGCUUGAGGACUCAAGGAAGACUGCUUUUCGUACUCAUAAUGGCCAUUUUGAGUUCCGAGUUAUGCCUUUCGGGCUCUGUAAUGCCCCCUUCACCUUCCAGGCCACAAUGAAUGAUCUCUUUCGACCUCACUUACGUAAAUUCAUCAUUGUUUUUUUUUUAUGAUAUUUUGGUGUAUAGUCCUUCUCUGGACUCUCAUAUUACACAUCUUGACCUCACAUUUGAUCUAUUGCACUCAAAUCAUUUUAAGUUGAAAGGUAGCAAGUGUUUGAUUGGAUGCCAUUCUAUUCAGUAUUUGGGGCAUAUCAUUUCUCAUCGGCAGGUACAGCCAGAUCCUGAUAAACUCGAAGCAGUUCGCAGUUGGCCUCAACAGACUACGAUCAAAUCACUCCGAGGCUUCUUGGGCCUUACUGGAUUCUACAGAAAAUUCGUGCAGGGAUAUGCCUCCAUCGCUCAUCCUUUAACUGAGCUGUUAAAAAAAGACGCUUUCCUUUGGAACAACGCGGCUCAGUCUGCCUUCGAAAAGCUCAAGCAGAUACUCUUACAGGAACCUGUACUAGCGAUUCCUAAUUUUGACUCCACAUUUGUUAUUCAAACCGAUGCUUCAGGUGUGGGAAUGGGUGCAAUUUUAUCUCAACAGGGUCACCCGGUCGCUUAUUUCAGUAAGCAGUUUUGUCCCAAAUUGCGCAACUCAUCCACUUAUGUAAGAGAACUAUGCGCAAUCACAUCUGCUAUCCAGAAGUGGCGUCAAUACUUGCUUGGCCGUCAUUUCAUAAUCCAAACAGAUCAAUGUUCCAUCAAGGAGCUUAUGCAUCAAACUGUCCUCACCCCGAAACAACAGAAAUAUCUUUUUAAAUUGAUUGGUUAUGAUUUCGAAAUCCAGUAUCGCGCCGGUAAAUCUAAUACUGCUGCGGAUGCCCUCUCACGUACUGAUGCUACCACCGAGAGUUCCUUGUUGGUCAUCACUAUUCCCCAGCUUGAAAUUCCUGGAUGCCCUUAAAUACUCUCUUACUGCUAAUGAUGAAUUUCAGGAUUUUAAGAAAAAAAUCUCUGUUGCACCUAGUGAAUUUCCUCACUACACAGUUCACCAAGAUUUCAUCACCUUCAAGGAUAAGAUUUGGCUCCCUUCCUCCAAUCCUUUUAUUCCCUUACUCCUCUAUGAAUUCCAUUCAACACCAACGAUUGGGCAUACUGGUGUUGCUCGCACACUUAGCAGGUUGUUAGCUCAAUUCUAUUGGAGGACAAUUCGUAAGGAUGUUCAGGAUUUUAUAGCCAAGUGUUCAAUUUGCCAACAGACAAAGAUUCCUACUCAGCGAACUCCGGGGAUUUUGCAACCAAUACCACCACCUUCUCAUUGCUGGGAGGAUCUUUCUUUGGAUUUUAUUGUCGGUCUUCCCUCAUAUAAAGGUUUCACUACAAUUUUAGUGGUGGUUGACCGUUUCUCAAAAGGGGCUCACUUUGGUAUGCUUCCCCGAUCCUUCACAGCCUCAUCAGUUGCUGAUCUGUUCAUUAAUAUUGUCUGUAAACAUCAUGGCAUCCCUCAUAGCCUCAUUUCGGAUCGCGAUCCGAUCUUUCUCAGCCAAUUUUGGCGCGAGCUCUUUCGUUUGAGUGGUACUAAGCUUCGAAUGUCAACAGCUUAUCAUCCUCAAACUGAUGGGCAAACCGAGGUGGCAAACAAAGUGUUGCAACAGUACUUACGUUGCUUCGUUCAUGACAAACCAUCGCAAUGGGGCAAAUACCUAGCUUGGGCAGAGUGGAACUUCAAUACUUCUGUCAACUCCUCUACGGGAUUCACUCCUUUUGAAAUCAUGUUUGGUUUUCCACCACCAACACUGCCUAAACUCAUCACUGCAGACACUUCUAAUGCGGCAGUGCAGUAUGAACUCUCGUCUCGUGAAGAAAUAUUACGCAAGCUCAGUUCUAACUUAAAGAAAGCCCAGGAAUCCAUGAAGCAUUGGGCUGACACCUCUAGACGUGAUCUCCAAUUCAAUGUUGGUGACUGGGUCUAUUUUCGUUUACGACCUCGCCGUCAAGUCUCAGUCACUGGCCCAUUUUUGAGUAAACUGCAGAAGCGAUAUUUUGGACCUUUCCAAAUUACCAACAAGAUUGGCGAAGUAGCUUACAAGUUGGCAUUGCCCGCAACAGCAAAAAUACACAAUGUAUUCCAUGUAUGUUUAUUACGUCCUCAUAAGGGACCCCUUCCUUCUUCUCCUCUCCAAUUACCAUCCGAGAUUCAUGAUAACCAACCAGUUCUUGAACCUGCUGCCAUUAUUGAUUGGAAACAAGAUCCAUCUUCUGCAGAUUCACGUAUUCUAGUCCUGGUACAGUGGCAAGGCAUGCCCCUAGAAGAAGCCAGUUGGGAACCAUUGUCACAAUUCAAAGACCAAUUCCACCUUGAGGACAAGGUGUUACUUGAACCAGGGGGAGAUGUUAGGAUUAAUAAUCCAAUACCUCUCACUAAUGUUGUGGACUCUGUUGAUGUAACCACCGAGACAAUUGAGGGACCCCCACACGACCCAGNUGAGGCCACAGCACAUGAAGGAAGGCCACAAAGAGCAUCACGUUUGCCUCAACGUUUNUCUGAUUUUGUUGUGACGUGUCCUGGUCCCAGCACAAAGGGGAAUUCUGUUACGAGGACAUGAGAAUCUUGUUUAUUUGCUUUUUGUUUUUCCCCUGUAAAACGGUUAUGCAAAAAGUGCAAGUUAUAUAGCACAAAGUGAAUAAAAAGGGGACGGUGGAUUUUAUGCAGAAAUUACUCUCUUCUCUGAUAAUUCUCAAUCUUCUCUGUAUUACUGCUAAAUUUUCAUCUGACAGAACCUAUCACAUAAUCAAACGUAAAGCAACUAAUCAUAAAAGUUUAUUGUGGCUUCACCUUCCCAAUUUGGUCGGGUCAUCUUCCUUUUGCAACAUGGUAUUGCUUAGAAUAAGUGAUUGCGAUCAUUGUUGGUCACUUCCACACCACUUGGGAAAUUACCUUAUUUCAAGCUACUAUGCAUUGCUAAGCUCAAAUCGUUGAAGAAAUUUGGAGGCUUUUCUUUUCAACCAUUUGUAAGUCUGAAGGAUCUAAAAUUUAUGGAACUUUCAGAAUUUCUUUCUAAUGAAGAGUUCUGUAUAUAUUCCGUUGUCCCAAACAUAGAGGAAACUUACCUACCAACCAUCCGUCAUUAGAAAGACUCAGGAUAGUUAAAUGUGAUGAACUCGAGUUACAAAACUCAAAUCAGGUGGAUGACACCAACCCUUUCGGUAGAGUUCAUACUCAAGUGGCUCUCUUCUCUGCACUCUAUACACAAUAUUUGGUCCCCAGGUUUAUUAUCAUUACUCAACUCCUUUACUCUUGGGAAUCACCAUUUUCUAGAGCUAUUUCUGAGGAUUCCAACCAACUAUAAUUGUCUUCAAUUUUUGAAUAUCAAAACAUUUCUAUAUCUCAAGUGUUUGCCAGAAUAGAUUAACACCCUCACAGGCCUUCAAGAAUUGAUUGUUUAUGAGCUUCUAUGUCUGAAGUCAUUUGCAGAAGAGGGUUUGCCUUUCAAUUUACGAAAAGUUAAGGUCUUUUAUUGUUUUGGGCACUCACACUACCAUCCAUCACUCAGUGGGGUACUCACUUUCUGAAGUUUCUUUUAGACGUAAAAAUUGCAGAAGACGUUCUCACAUAUGCCUUGAUGAUUGAAAAGCAAUUGCUUCCAACUUCUCUUGUGUCAUUGUGUCACUGUUCAUCAGAGACAUUUCCUUCUUGAAUGGUGUGGGACUUAAAAUAUAUCAUCUCUCUUUAAACUAUUUGAACCUUAAGUUGUUGCCAAAAAGGAAUUGAGCCCUCUUUCUCUUUCAGUAAUUAGCAUAAGUGAAUAUCCUCUGUUUCAAGACAGCUAUGAAAGGAAUGGAGGGAUGAUGAACCUGGCAUAGGAUUUCCCAUAUUCCUUGUUUAAAGAUCAAUAAAGUAGAAAUAAUGUGAACAAAGACAAAGAGUUUACCAGAAUUUAUAACUUGUCUUACUCAUGACAAAUCAUGCUCCAUUUAUUUAAUUCAAUUUUGUCCUAGAAACAAGUGUAAGUUAAUGUUCGGACUGCUCCUCUGUUUCUCAAUAAUGUUCUGUAUUGCUGCUUGGUUUAUACAUUCACUCUUUAACAAUAGAUUUCAGUCUUUGCAUUGUGUUUUUAAAUUGUCAUUAGUUUCAGCAAUGCUUAAAGAUUGAGAAUUCAUUGAUUUAAAAUGAUAAAUUCCUUGACACAGUUUCAUAAGAAACGUAAACAAAUUUAUAUGAAGUACCUAACAAACCUGAGGUAAAACUUCCAUUAAAAUUUUGUGUUAGAAUGAAAGAAUAAAGAAAGCGAAAACCUAUGAAUUCUAUACAACAUCUAAUGUUUUCCUUUAAAAUAUUAAUUAAAUAUUGUUUAAAGUUUUCCUUUUCUUGAUCUUUUUAAUAGUUUUGAUAGAAUAUCAUAAUUUCAUUAAAAAUCUUAAUAAAACACCAGAAAUAUUUUAAUAUAAAAAAAAAAAACUUAUUUAAAACUUUUCUUUGAAAUCGAAAGUAAAUAAUUGCAAAUCUUCAAGUGUCUUUCUAAAAAUUUAACGCGCAGGUCUCGAAAAAUGAAGUAUGCAUACAUACCAAGAUGGGUUCAGGAGGAAAAAUAUAAAACAAAUGGAAUUUAGUAAAGUGAUAUUGGGUGAGUCAUAACGCACUUCGACACUACAUAUAAAACAUAUUAAUCUUUUACAUUAUUGCUUAUCUUUGAAGAAUUGACUUCAAUUCCUUCCAUGGAGUUUGCAUCUUCUUCUUUAACAUCAUCAUCUUCAUCCUUCUUAACAUCAGAACCCCAUUUCAUACACGAUGUCUUCAUCAACUUUGGUGGAGAAGAAAUCGGUCGAAGGUUUGUUUCUCAUCUCCACUCUGUCCUUUUACAAGCUCAAGUCGAAACUUUGAUUAGCCAGGAGAAUCUGCACGAGGGAAUGAAGCUGGAAGAGCAUAUGCGAGCGAUAGGACACACUAAGAUUACAAUAAUCGUUUUCUCCAAAUCAUACACUGAAUCUGCUAGCUGUCUUCUUGAGCUUGAAAAAAUAAUUGAAUGCCACGAAACAUUUGGCCAAAUAGUUGUGCCCGUAUUUUACGAGAUUGACCCAUCGGAUGUACGUUAUCAGAAGGAUGAUUUUGGAAAAGCGUUGGAAGAAGCUGCUCACAAAAGCUAUUCAGGAGAACAACUGAAACAUGCGUUGUCCAAGUCGAGCCGUGCACUCACCACAACUGCUGGUAUCCCUAGUUGUGAUUUCAGAAAUUUCAGGUAAACAAAUGAAUCCUUCCUAUUUUCUUUGGUUUGAGAGUGAAUGAAGCAUAAGUUAAGGUUGUGAUUUAAUUUUGGUAACACAUUAUCAUUCAUCUUGAAGGCAUGAUGCUGCACUUGUAGAGCAAAUUGUUAGGCACGUUAAGAAAUUACUGAACUACGAGGACUUGUUUAUUACCCACUAUCCUGUUGCAUUACUAGAGUCCUACGUGGAAGACGUGAUUAAAUAUAUUGAAAAUCAAUCCACCAAAGUGUGUAUCAUAGGAAUAUGAGGAUUCGAAGGAUCAGGUAAAACAACCCUAGCCAAAGCCAUCUACAAUCGAAUUUAUCGUGAAUUCAUUGGUAAGAGUUUUAUUGAGAAUAUUCGUGAUGAAAAGUAUGUUGCUUUACAAGAAAAUCUUCUUUCUGAUGUCUUAAAAUCCAUGUUGGUGCUGGGAGGCGUUGGAAUCGGAAGAGUUAUGAUCAAGAAUAAAUUUUGUAGAAAGAAGUUGUUGAUUGUGCUUGAUGAUGUAAAUGAGUUUGGCCAAUUGGAAAACCUAUGCGGGAGACGUGAAUGGUUCGGUCAAGGAACUGUGAUAAUCAUUACAACUAGAUAUCUUCACUUGCUGAAACAACUCAGAAAUAGUUAUGUUUAUGAAACGGAUCUUGCAAGAGAAGCAAAACCAAGAAAAGAAUUGAAGGAACUAGCAAGAGACAUAGUUGAUUAUUUUGGAGGACUACCACUGGCUCUUCAGUUCCUUGGUUCCUAUUUAUGUGAUAAAACAAUAGAAGGGUGGAAAAGUGUAUUGAGGAAAUUACAAAGAAUACACGGGGAUAAUCUUCUGAAGGUAUUAAAAAUAAGUUUUGACGGUUUACGUGANNNNNNNNNNNNNNNNNNNNNNNNNNNNNNNNNNNNNNNNNNNNNNNNNNNNNNNNNNNNNNNNNNNNNNNNNNNNNNNNNNNNNNNNNNNNNNNNNNNNNNNNNNNNNNNNNNNNNNNNNNNNNNNNNNNNNNNNNNNNNNNNNNNNNNNNNNNNNNNNNNNNNNNNNNNNNNNNNNNNNNNNNNNNNNNNNNNNNNNNNNNNNNNNNNNNNNNNNNNNNNNNNNNNNNNNNNNNNNNNNNNNNNNNNNNNNNNNNNNNNNNNNNNNNNNNNNNNNNNNNNNNNNNNNNNNNNNNNNNNNNNNNNNNNNNNNNNNNNNNNNNNNNNNNNNNNNNNNNNNNNNNNNNNNNNNNNNNNNNNNNNNNNNNNNNNNNNNNNNNNNNNNNNNNNNNNNNNNNNNNNNNNNNNNNNNNNNNNNNNNNNNNNNNNNNNNNNNNNNNNNNNNNNNNNNNNNNNNNNNNNNNNNNNNNNNNNNNNNNNNNNNNNNNNNNNNNNNNNNNNNNNNNNNNNNNNNNNNNNNNNNNNNNNNNNNNNNNNNNNNNNNNNNNNNNNNNNUGGAUUUGCUGGAAAGGAUUCCCUUCUAAAUACAUUCCAAACAACUUUUAUAUGGGAAAUGUAAUUGCAAUUGAUUUAAGGCAUAGUCAUCUUCAACUCGUCUGGAAACCACCCCAGGUAUAUUUUACGCUCUUUUCUUUUAAAACUCGUUGGUUAAUUAAGAUAAAAAUAGUAUUAUUGAUUCCAGUUCUAACUAUAGCAUUCAUUUUACAUUUAUUUCCCUAAUCUUUUGUAAACUAUGUUUGUAGAUUUUAGAGGGGUUACAAUUCCUUAAUCUUAGUCACUCCAAAUACUUGAAAGAAACACCUGACUUUUCCAGUCUACCAAGUCUUGAACAGCUCAUUCUAAAAGAUUGUCCAAGUUUGCUCAAGCUACACCCAUCCAUUGCUUAUCUCUCCAACAUACGAGUGAUAAAUUUGAAGGAUUGCACAAGUCUACGCUAUCUUCCAAGAGAGGUAUAUAAGUUGAGAUCUUUAAAAACUCUCAUCCUAUCUGGUUGUUCGAAGCUUGACCAUAUACAUAUAGCAGAGUUGAAAUCCUGAGUAAAUAUAAUUUGCUUAGAACAAAACUAUGAAACAAACAUUGAUGAAUUGUAAGCUAAAAGAAUAUAUAUCAGAUAUAAAUCCCAACGUAAAUUUGAAGGAUUCUUGGUAAAUAUUUGUUGUUAGGCUAUACAUAGCAUUUAUUUGUUGGUAGACUAAACUUUAGGAGAAUAAUAACAAUCAAUUUGGGAAUCUCAAUUUGUUUUUUACUGUAAGUAUUAUAAAUAAUUGGCGGUUCGUAUAUAUUGAGAAUAAUAACGUUUACUUUUAUUUCAACUCCUAUAUUUUUCUCUUUCAGAAUUUUAUUUCCUCGGUUUUGUUUUGCUAGCUAACAUUAUUCUGCAAAACAACAAUUGGUAUCAUAAGAACGUUAUUCAAAUUAGGAUGAACGAAUAUAAAAACUUAUAUUAUUAUCUAGGCUUUUUAUUGCACGUACAUUAGUUUAUAUAAUCUUUAAAAUUAUAUAAACUAAAUUUUAAAUUAUUUAAAAAUUGUUUAAAAUUUGAAUAUAAAGAGUGUUUUGCAUUCAAUUAAUUUGGAUCUUAUCUUCUGAAGAACAAGUCUCAAUCCUUCUCGACAUUUAUUUUAGAUCCUUUCAGGUGGCAUAUUUUUUCCCAUUCAUAACUUUCGUUUCCUUUCUCUCUUACAUUUUUAGUUUUUCAAUUCUAUUUCUUAAUUCUUCUUGUUUAGUUUUCAAAAUGAUUUCUAUCUAAACAUGUUGUUCUAUAUCACUUACUGCAUCAUUUCAAGAGUUAAGGAAGCUAAUUGGAAUAAAGGAAAGAGGAUUUUAAGUUUAUAAGGGAGUUUUCUUACAUAAAUUUAAAAUUAUCUAACUGAUAAUAGGUCUGAUAAUCACCAGAAAAACAUACUUCAAGUUCGGCAAUUCCCAUGAUGUUUCAAUUUUAUCACAUUGGUAUAUCUCUCUAUAUAAAUGUUAAUCCAUAUACAUAAGUAAGAUAGCUGCUCUAUAAAUUUAUUUUGUUUUUAAAAUUGAAUAUUGUUAACUUUUUCAACCAUUAGCAAUGCAUGAAUAUCUCUACUAUUGAUUGAAGGAGAACUUAAGGCUAUUUUUCACUCAAUCUUAAGCUAGUGAAAUAAGAUGAAUGAUUAAUUCAUCCAAUGUUAAGUAUAAAUUUAUUAACAAACUUUGUCAAAGCAGUGCAGCAAAAUGAUUAGCGUGUUAACCAUAAACCAAGAGGGUGAAUUGGUUUUCUUUCGCAAACCUGUGUCUUUUAAAAUUUUCUCUCAAUUUUAUCUUAUUCAAUGGUUAAUUUAAACAAUUAAAAUACAAUAAGGGAAGAGAAAAAUUGCACAGAUAAUUUUAUAUUGGUUUAGAUUAAAAGAAUUCUACGUCUAGUUGCUAAUGUCACAAAGAGAUCAACGUUCCACCAUCACAAAAUCAAUAAACUUUACAAUAACACACAAAUAACAAGUUUAAGGUUUAGAAAACAUCUUUCUUGUUACCAUAAGAGAUGAUACUCACUUCCCUUUAACACCUCAAGGGAUGAACACCUCCUCUGAAUGCUUUACAAAGGAUGACAGACUUCACUCAACAACAUCAGCCGCACUCAAUCACACCUAUAGUGAAAGUUCUCACUCUUGCCCACACUAAGUUUCCAAGCCAAUUCACAAAGUUACAAAAACCCUAGGUCACACUUCACUUUAGUUCAAAAACGUGCAGUUUUUUUUUUUGAAUGAGGGUCUAUAUCUUCUAUAUAAAGAUUUCUUUCAAGGACAACUCCAAAAAUCCAUUGCCAUACCUUUCACCCGUGAUAAUCGAUUUGUUGAGAAAAUCUCUCAAUACACACUCAGAUAUUGUUUCAAAAUUGAGUCUUGUUAUUCAUUGAUAAUUGAAAGACUUUAAAUAGUCAUGAUACUUACAAUAUUAUAGAAAUAAAAAUAAAAUCUGAAAAUAAAAUAUCAACUGACUUAAAAAUAAAAUCUCCUUAACCUAUCAUAAAAUAAUAUUCUACCUAGAUAAACAGAAAAUCAUAACUACCCAUCCCUAUUUUAUCUCUAUCAAAUCAAACCAAAUAUUACUAAACCCAAAACUAAUAAAAUAAUAAAUCUCUAAAAUUUAAGUUUAUCCCAACAAACCCCCCCCUAAACUUAAAUUCUUUCCUUCCUUGUUUUCCAUGUGCAUCAUCCCACAUCGGGUUUGCUUCUUCUCUCCAAGAUUUUCAGCUCCAGUUCAUACAACCGAUUCUUCUUUGCUUUUACCUGGGUUGUUCAACAAUCAUGCUUAUCCUUUAAAUACAAUACCUGAUUUUUCAUAAAAAUUGAAUUACCUUUUUCAAUUAUCUAACCCAUACUUAAAAUAUUGCUCUUCAACCCCAGAACAUAAUAAACAUCCUUAAUAUCUCCAACUUGUCCAUUAUUCUGAAUUUGCCGAAUUGUUUCACGCCCUUUCACGGCCACCUUGGAGUCAUCUCCAAAAGACACAAAUUUGGCCUCCACCUUGGUGAGUUCAUAAAAAAAUUCUCGUUCCCACACAUAUGAUUGUUUGCUCCAGUAUCUAGAUAUCAUAUCAAGUUGGUAGAAAACUCAUCAGUCUUCUGCAUCUUCAGUAACGAGAUUCGUCUCCCUCUUUGUCUCGGUCUUGCAAUACUUUGCAAUAUGACCAAACUUGCCACAGUUGUACCACUCUAUUGAUGAUCUACACUCGUUUGCAUAGUGGUCGUACUUGCCACACUUAAAACACUCCACUCUUGACUGAUCUCCUUGCCCUUUUCCUUGUCCUCGGUCAUGCCAAUUCUGCUAACUGGUUUGAUCUUCAUUAUCAUUACCUCGGCCACGUCCACCUCGUCCUCGGCCUCCUCGCCCUCUUCCACCAGGACCUUGGCUUUGAGUAAUCCGAGAUUUAUUCCAGUGUACCUGUAGUGCUUGAUCGUCAGGUUCUCUCUUUUUCUUUUUCUUCCUCAAUUCAUGGGCUUUUAAUGACCCAGCUAACUCCUCCACAGUGAGAGUUGAGAAAUCCUUUGUCUCUUCAAUAGUGACCACGAUACUUUCAAAAUCAUCCGUCAGAUUUCUCAAGAUCUUUUCUGCAACCCGUUUAGGAGGAACCUCUUCUCCAUUCAUUUCGAGUUGGUUGGCCAUCUUUUGUACUCAAGUUAUAAACUCAGCAACUCCCUCAUUUUCAUCCAUCUCCAUAUGUUCAAACUCUCUUCUGGGAGCUUGUACUCGGACUUGUAUCACGCGGGUAUCUCAUUUGUAUGCCACCUUCAAAAUUUCCCAUGCUUCUUUUGCCGACUUUGCAUUAGCUAUUUUCUCAAAUCUAGAUUCAUCCACUGCAUUAUACAGAAAGUACAAAGUCGAUCUCUCUUUCACUCAUGUCUUUUUCAAUGCAGCAACCUGGUUCACUGUCUGAUACUCAUCAUCCGCAGGUUCAUUGUACCCGUCUUCCACUAUGUCCCAUACGUCUUCUUGGAUCCACUAAAUUCAAGUGGAUAAUUCUCAUAAACACAAGGACAGAAGGAAAAUAUAGUUGAAAAGUGAAAAGUGUCAUGUAGGCUUGGAAAGAUGGCUGUAGACUAAUAGCGAGAUUUUACGAGGGCGCCCACUAAUAAAUUAUUCAUUCCACCCUUACUAUUGAACUAUCACUAUUUGGAUGUUCAUUUGAAAGGACGCUUUACCCUUUCAAUUUUCCCUAAGAAUUAAAUACGAAGACUGUAGUUAAACUAUGCAUACUAGAUGUUUAAUUCAGUUUAACAGAAAUCAAUCUUUGGAAGAGAAAGAUGAGGAAUACUUGGAUGAACUGGUAUGAAGCUCACUGAUUGAAAGAAGCACUGCAUAUUACCAAUACAAGUUCAAAAAGCAAGAUCUCAUCAAUUAUUUAGCCACAGUUGUAUCGGGCAAGUAUUGUUAUAGGUAUGAAGUUCAAAAACGAUAUGAGUGUCUUGAUAAAGUUCGCCAUAUGUCUUACAGCAUCAUAAAUUUGUUGUCAUUUCAAGAUGACAGGGUUUACGAGCAUUCAUAGCAUUGUCACACCACGACAAUAUCAACCGGUUGCCUGAUUCUCUUUAAAAAAAUUCAUUAUAUAUCUUACAAUCAAAUCAAGAGGUUACCUCAUGAAAUAAUGCAAGCUGUACAAUGUCCAAACCUUGCUGCUAUCAUGUUCAUACCUACUGGAAUUGCGUCAAGACAUAGACAAAUUGAUUAAUCUGCAUCACAUGGAUCUAUGUGGAGCCAAGUUGAAGGAGAAUUCCCACAAAUGUAAGUUAAAAUGUCUCAAAACUUUGACUUCCUUUGUUGUCAGAAAAUAGGAUGGUAGAUUAAAGGUUUAAGCAUUGAAAAAUUUUACACAUCUACAAGGAAAGUUUUCCAUAUUAAACCUACGACAUCUUGUAGAUGCAAUAAAGCUUUUCAAGGUAAUUUAAAAAUUAAUGAGGUAAUUGAGGAGUUAGAAUUGGAACUAGCCUGCAAUACUGAAGAUUCACGUGUUGAGAGAGAAAUACUUUAGCUGCAUCACCUUCCCAAUUUGGUCGGGUCAUCUUCCUUUUGCAACAUGGUAUUGCUUAGAAUAAGUGAUUGCGAUCAUUGUUUGGGCAAUUACCUUAUUUCAAGCUACUAUGCAUUGCUAAGUUCAAAUCAUUGAAAAAAUUUGGAGUUGAUUUCUAUGGGAGAGGCUUUUCUUUUCAACCAUUUGUAAGUCUGAAGGAUCUAAAAUUUUUGGAACUGUCAUGCUGGGAGGAAUGGUUUUCUGCAACUGAUAUAACUACAGAAUUUCUUUCCCAUGAAGAGUUCUAUAUAUUCUGUUGUCCCAAACAUAGAGGAAACUUACCUAACAACCAUCCGUCAAAGACUCAGGGUAGUUAAAUGUGACGUACUCGAGUUACAAAACUCAAAUCAGGUGGAUGACAGUAACCCUUUGGGGUAACUAAGAUUCUUCGGAAGAGCUCAUCUCACUCUAUACAAACUUUUUGGUCCCCAGGUUUAUUGCCAUUACUCAACUCCUUUACUCUUGGGAAUCACCAUUUUCUAGAGCUAUUUCUUAGGAUUCCAACCAACUAUAGUUGUCUUCAAUUUUUGAAUAUCAAAACAUUUCUAACUCUCAACUGUUUGCCAGAACAGAUUAACACGCUCACAAGCCUUCAAGAAGAGGGUUUGCCUUUCAAUUUACAAAAAGUUGUGGUCUUUAAUUGUUGGGCAUUCACACUAGUAUCCGUUACUUAGUGGGGUACUAAGUUUCUUAACUUUCAUUUCGAAGUAAAAAUUGGAGAAGACGUUCUUGCAGAUGCCUUGGUGGAAGAGCAAUUGCUUCCAACUUUCAGUAAUUAGCAUAAAUGAAUAUCCUCUGUUACAAGAGAGCUAUGAAAGGAAUGAAGGAAUGAUGAACCUGGCAUAGGAUUUCCCAUAUUCCUUGUUUAAAGAUCAAUAAUUUUUAUUAAUAUAUUUAUGUGUAAGCUUUAUUAUAUUACUCUAUUAAGUCACUGUUAAAUAUAUACGUUUCAUCAGUUUUACUUUUAUACUUUCUAUAGGCACUUUCAUUGUUUAAAACUUUAAAUGAUAAAUAAAACUUUAUACAUAAUUUAUUUUAAUUAAGAUUUCACACUCAAAUUUUUUAUAUAUUAAAGAAUUCAUUAAUAAAAAGAAAUUAAUCAUAUUUUAAGUAUUGUAAAUUUAAAUAAAUCAUCUCUUAAUCAGAUCAUAUUUCAUUUUACAUUAAGUUAUACUAAUUAUUUUAAAUUAAAUAAUGUUACUUGUGAUUGUGUAAACUCCGGGAACCACUUUUAUAUUUUUAAGUAUCUCCAAAUCCACCCGUCAUACUUUUGCUUCAAACAAUAAUAUUCGAAAAUAAUUAGUUAUAAUUUUAAGAUUUAAAUUUUUUUUUCAUUGAAAAUUAAAAUUAAUAUAUUUUUAAAACAUCAACUUAAAUUAAUUCUUCAGCUUUAAAAAUACGUGAAUUUCAUAUUUUAACUAAAUUUUAUUAAAUUUAUUUAACGUUUAAUUUAAAAAAUUAAAUUCAUUCAUUUCUAAAAUUGAAUAAUAAAGUUAACUUAAAAUUUUGAAAAAAAUAACUAAUUUUAAUUUUUAUUAAAAACUAAAGAAUAAAAUAUAUUUAAUAUUAAAUUUAAUGCUAUUAACAAAAGUCUUUAAAAAUAUUUCUUCAAAAAUCUUAAUUAAACAAGGAAUAUGGCACAUCUUUUAAAAUAUUUCUUUAAAAAUCUUAAUUAAACAUCAGAAAUAUUUUAAUAAAAAGACGUUAUUAAACAUUUUUCUUUGAAAUCAAGAGUGAAUAAUUGCAACUCUUUAAUGUUUUAUUUACUUGUAAAAAUUAGAGAGAGAGUGAUUGAAUGGAUUAUGGAUUUAAGAGGAUUUAAAAAUAAUUUUUUUUAUUUAUUUAAGUGUAUUUGAAAGUAAAUGAAAAUAAAUUUGAAAAUAAAAUUUAUAAGAAUUGAAGUAUUAUUUAAUUUAUGCGACAGAUUAAGAAAAUUUAUUUCUAAAUUCAUUUUCACUUAUUUGAAAUAAAAAUUCACUCAAAUAAAUAAUAAAAAAAAUCACUCAAAUAAAUAACAAAAAAAAUUACCUUUCAAUCCUAUCAAUUCAAUUAUCCUCCUCAAAUUCCUUAAAAUCAACAAGAUAAAGAUAUAAAUGUCUUUCUAAAAAUUUAACGGGCAGGUCUCCGAAAAUGAAGUAUGCAUAAGGGAUGGCUCAGGAGGAAAAAUAUAAAAUAUAAAUGGUACGCACUUCGAGACUACAUCUAAAAGGUAUUACUCUUUAACAUUAUUGCUUUAUCUUUGAAGAGUUGACUUCAAUUCCUUCCAUGGAGUUUGCAUCUUCAUCCUUCUUAACAUCAGAACCCCAUUUCAUACACGAUGUGUUCAUCAACUUUGGGGGAGAAGACAUCGGUAGAAGGUUUGUUUCUCAUCUCCAUUAUGCCCUUUUACAAGCUCAAGUCAAAACUUUUAUUAGCCAGGAGAAUCUGCAUGAUGAGGGAAUGAAGCUGGAAGAGCACAUGAGAGCAAUAGGACACACUAAGAUUUCAAUAAUCGUUUUCUCCAAAUCAUAUACUGAAUCUGUUUGCUGUUUUCUUGAGCUUGAAAAAAUAAUUGAAUGCCACGAGACAUUUGGCCAAAUAGUUCUGCCCGUAUUUUACGAGAUUGACCCAUCGGUUGUACGUCAUCAGAAGAAUGAUUUUGUAAAAGCGUUGGAAGAAAUUACACACAAUAGCUAUUUAGGAAAACAACUGCAACAUGCGUUGUCCAAGUCGAGCCUUCCACUCACCACAGCUGCAGGCAUCGCUGUUUGGGAUGUCAGAAUAUUCAGGUAAACAAAUGAAUCCUCCUACUUUCUUUGGUUUGAGAGUGAAUGAAGAAUAUGUUAAGGUUGUGAUUUAAUUUUGGUAACACAUUAUCAUUCAUCUUGAAGGCAUGAUGCUGCACUUGUAGAGCGAAUUGUUAGCCACGUUAAAACAUUACUGGACUAUAAAGACUUGUCUAUUACCGAAUUUCUUGUUGGAUUGGAAUCCCGCGUGGAAGACGUGAUUAAAUUGAUUGAAAAUCAAUCUACCAAUGUGUGUGUGAUAGGGAUAUGGGGAAUGGAAGGGUCGGGUAAAACAACCAUAGCCAAAGCAACCUACAAUCGAAUUUAUCGUGAAUUUAUUGGUAAGAGUUUUAUUGAGAAUACUCAUUAUGAAGAGUAUCUUGAUUUGGAAGCAAAACUUAUUUCUGAUGUCCUAAAAUCAGAGUUGGAGGGGCAAAGCGGUGGGAUGGGAACAACUAUGAUCCAGAAUAGACUUUAUCGAAAAAAGUUGUUCAUUGUGCUUGAUGACGUGAAUCACAUUGGCCAAUUAGAAAACCUAUGCGUGAGUAGAGAAAGGUUCGGUCAAGGAACUGUGAUAAUCAUUACUACUAGAGAUUUUCAGUUGCUGAACCAACUCAGAGUUAAUUAUGUAUAUGAAAUGGAUCUUUUGAACGGAAAUGAGUCACUUGAGCUUUUUAGUUGGCAUGCCUUUGGAGAAGCAAUACCAAAAAAAGAAUGGAGUGAACUCGCAAGAAGCGUUGUUGUUUAUUGUAGAGGACUACCACUAGCUCUUCAGUUCCUUGGUUCCUAUUUAUUUGAUAGUACAAUACAAGUGUGGAAAAGUGUGUUGAGUAUAUUACAAAGAAUACCCCCGGAUAAUCUUCUGAACGUAUUAAAAAUAUGUUUUGACGAUUCACAUAAUACUGAAAAGGAUAUACUUCUUGAUGUAUGUUGUUUCUUUAAAGGCAAAGAAAAAGACUAUGUAACGGAGAUAUUAAAUGGCUGUGGACUAUAUGCUGAUUUUGGAGUAACAGCUCUCAUAGAGCGUGGCCUCAUAAAAGUUGAAAGGAACAACAAACUUGAAAUACACCCUUUAUUACAAGACAUGGGAAGAGAAAUUAUUCGUCAAGUAUGCCCAGAGGAACCGGGGAAACGGAGUCGAUUGUGGUUGCAGGAUGACGUAAAAGAUGUAUUGAAAGAGAAUACUGUAAGAACAUUAUUUAUAUGAUUUUGAAAGUGUUUUCUUUUUUAGUGUAAUGCAUGUGUUAUUAACUUGUUACACUCAACAUUAAGUAUGAAUAAUCAUCAAUUAUUUAUGGAUUUCUCAAUUGUUUAUCUUUGCUAUAUUCAUCACAGGGGACAGAAGCUAUCCAGGGAUUGUCCCUGNAACUGCAUUCAACAAGCAGAGAUUGCUUCAAAACUCAUGCUUUCAAGGAAAUGAAGAAAUUAAGACUUCUACGACUAGAUAAUGUACAUCUUGUUGGAGAUUAUGGGCACAUUUCUAAAGAACUGAGNUGGAUUUGCUGGAAAGGAUUCCCUUCUAAAUACAUUCCNAANAACUUUUAUAUGGGAAAUGUAAUUGCAAUUGAUUUAAGGCAUAGUCAUCUUCAACGCGUCUGGAAACAACCACUCUGGAAACAAUCCCAGGUAUUCCUUACUCUCUUUUCUUUUAAAACUCGUAGGUUAAUUAAGAUAGAAAUAGUAUUAUUGGUUCCAGUUCUAACUAUUGCAUUCAUUUUACAUUUACUUCCCUAAUCUUUUGUAAACUAUCUUUGUAGGUUUUAGAGCGGUUAAAAUUCCUUAAUCUUAGUCACUCCAAAUACUUGAAAGAAACGCCAGACUUUUCCAGACUACCAAGUCUUGAACAGCUAAUUCUAAAAGAUUGUCCAAGUUUGCUCAAGCUACACCCAUCCAUUGGUGAUCUCUCUAAUAUACUAUUGAUAAAUUUGAAGGAUUGCACAAGUCUAAGCUAUCUCCCAAGAGAGAUAUCUAAGUUGAGAUCUUUAAAAACUCUAAUCCUAUCUGGUUGUUCGAAGCUUGGCCCUAUAGAUAUAGCACAGGUGAAAUCCUUGGUAACUAUAAUUGCUUAAAACACAACUGUGAAACAAACAUUGAUGAAUUGUAAGCUAAAAGAAUAUCAGAUAUAAAUCCCAACGUGAAUUUGAAGGAUUGUGGGUAAAUAUUUGUUGUUUGGUUAUACGUAGCAUUUAUUUGUUGAUAGACUAAACUUUAGGAGAAUAAUAACAAUCUAUUUGGGAAUCUCAAUUUGUUUCUUUUACUGCAAGUAUUAUAAAUAAUUGGCGGUUCGUAUAUAUUGAGAAUAAUAAAUAACGUUUACUUUUAUUUCAACUCAUAUAUUCUUUCUCUUUCAGAAUUUUAUUUCCUCUGUUUUAUUUUGCUACCCAACAUUAUUCUGUAAAACAGCAAUUGGUAAGAUAAGAACGUUUUUCAAAUUAGAUGAACGAAUAUAAAAAUUAUAUUAUUACCGAGCCUUUUUAUUUCAAGAAGCCUUAUAAAUGUGUUUUGUAAUAAUACCAUCUGACGAUUCUCUUUAUGUUUUCUAGUACCAUCAAAAUGGAUUGAAACCCGUGACCCAAUCCGGCUCACUACAGGUUUAAGCCGGGUUAGGUUGAAAAAAAAAAUGCGAAAAUUUUAAUGCAAGCCUAUUUUGACCCGGCUCACUAAGAACUUAGUUCACACGGGUUGAACCCGUGGUGGGUCGGGUUGGCUCACCAAUCCACCUAUUUUUUUCAAUUAAAUCAAAUUAAUUAAAUUAAUUAUUAAAAUCCUAUUUUUUUAUAUUGAAAUCAAAUUAAUUAAUUAUUCAAAAGGCACAUCCUUCAUAAUCAGGCUCUCUUCUCACCAAAAACUUUACAAUCAAAGAUGAGUUGUAUUUUAGGAAGUUAAUUUUGAUUUACUCUGAAUGUUUAAGAUAUGAUGGAAAAAUAUAUACAAUAUUUUUACAAUAACACGAAAAAAUCAUAUAAAUCAUCCUAUAUAUACAAUAUUUAAACAUAUAUAUAUUUUUACAAUAUUUAAACAUCCUAUAUAUACAAUAUUUUUACAAUAUUUAAACAUAUACAAUUGUUUUACAAUAUUUAAACAUCCUAUUUAUACAAUAUUUUUACAAUUUUAAACAUAUACGAUGUUUAUACAAUAUUUAAACAUUCAAUAUAUACAAUAUUUUUACAAUAUUUAAACAUCUUAUAUAUAUAUAUAUAUAUAUAUAUAUAUAUAUAUAUAUAUAUAUAUAUAUAUAUAUAUAUAUAUAUACACAAUAUUUUUACAAUACUUUUAAUAAUUAAUAACACAGAAAAAUAUAUACAAUAUUUAAACAUCCUAUAUAUACAAUAUUUUCACAAUACUUUUAAUAAUUAAUAACACGAAAAAAUAUAUACAAUAUUUUUACAAUCACUUAACCACUUCAUCAAACACUUUUCAUUCUUUAAUAUACACAAUCAUAGCAAUAUAAAAUCAUAUAAAAUAUCUUAUAUAUAAAACAUCUGUUAUGUAACUAAGAUUUUUUCGUUUUUUUUAUAUUAAUUAUUUCAAAAUAAACACAUGUUACUUAUGAUAACUAUGAUUCUUUAAUUUUUUUAUAUUAAUAAAUACAAAAUAAACACAUGCUACCUAAUAAUUUAGAUUCUUCUGUUUUUUUAGUUUCUUUUAUUUCAAUUGGUCCAAUUAUUACUGUUUUAAUAUCAAAGUACCAUGUAAUAAGAAUAUCAGAAGAAGCCAAUGAGCCAACCCGUUUAGCCCACCAACCUGUGGUGGGUCAGGUUGGGUUUGAAUUUUUUCGCUCGUCAAUAAAUGAGCUGAGUUGGGUUGGCUCACUAAGUGGUCAACCCGUGGUGGGUCGAGCCGAGUUACCUGUUUUGAUAGGUUUAAUGUUUUCUUGGCCAUUUGAAAAAAUAUUUUCCAAAAAUGUCAUUAUUCCCUAUUCCAAUUCUUUAUUUCUAUAACUAAUUUAUUUUUUCAUCAUUCCUUUUUAUCUUAUCGAAUUGGUAUAUCUCUAUAUAAAUGUUAAUCCAUAGAUAAGUAAGAUAUAAUUAACUUAUACAUUUAUUUUGGUUUUAAAAUUUGAUACAGUUAACUUGUCAACCAUCAGUAAUGCAUGAAUAUCUCUAUUGUUGAUUGUAGACGUUAAAAUUUUUGCAAUUGUUUUUAAAAGUAAAGUAUACUCUCUCCAUUUUUAAACUUUUAAAAAUAUAUGAACUAAAUUUUAAAUUGUUUAAAAUUAUAGUUUAGUCUCUAAAAAAAACACUUUAAGUUGUUCAAAUUAUGGGACUAAAAUUUUUAUUUUUAAAAGUUAAAGUUAGUUUUUUUCAAUUAUAUAGACUAUGUUUCGGUAACAUUUGUCUAGGGUCGGUCGCCCUUCCUUGCUAUGCUCCGAUCGUCCAACUCUUCAUGUAAUCCUUCCCGAUUGGGGAUUGACCUGCAGAAGACACUCUGACACUCAAGUCAGAUAUGUUUCAUAGAGAGGUCAAUAUUUUUAUUAGGAUAGAUCAAGAUGAUCGUACCUGGACAUCAGUGGUAUGCUUAUAAGGCUUGUGACAGCCAACUCUAUUGAUUGACCAUUAGUGCAAUAUAUUUUAGGUAAUCAAACCCAAUAAUUAAUCAUUAAUACCAUAUAUUUGUAAAUUAAUACCUGAUAAUUGCCCAUGAAUGAACAUUAACUCUGACUGGUAUGUUUCAUAUAAUACAUAAGCCCCCUAAGCCCAAGCUCUUUUACUUAAAAGAGGUGCGCAGGGAUUAUUAUGAGCUUUAAAAGGAGUCGGUCUUUUAUUCUCUCUAUACCAAGCAGCAGACUUUAGGAGUUUUCUUUGGAUCUUUUCUUGUGCUAGAGAUUAUCACUCUAAAAAAUAUAAAAUACAGUAAACGCUUCAACCGUUUAUAAUUUUUAUAAUGAAAAGGCGUUGGAACCUGACAAAGUUGAACUGUUGAGUAGUUGACUGAUAGGUCUUUUCGACCUUCCUACGUUAAGCGAAGAUUUUUGAAGCCAUUUUCCUGACUUCCAACAAAGGAUGAGGUUUUCUAACUUCACCCCGAACAUCGUUCUUCCCGAUGUGAAGAGUCUUAAGAUGUCAAUUACCUGACAUCCUGGUAUUUGAAGUCAACUUUCUGACUUCACUCCUCCUUCUUUCAUACCACCCGAUCAAGAGUCAAUUUUCUAACUUCUUGAGAUUCUUCGAAGUCAAUUUUCUGACUUUACUCCUCCUUCCUUCAUACCACCCGAUCAGGAGUCAAUUUUCUGACUUCUUGAGAUUCUUCGAACUCCUCCUUCCUUCAUACCACCCGAUCAGGAGUCAAUUUUUUGACUUCCUGAGAUUCUUCGAAGUCAAUUGUCUGACUUCACUCCUCCUUCCUUCAAAACACCCAAUCAGGAGUAAAUUUUCUAACUUCCUGAGAUUCUUCAAAGUCAAUUUUCUGACUUCACUCCUCCUUCCUUCAUACCACCCGAUCAGGAGUCAAUUUUUUGACUUCCUGAGAUUCUUCGAAGUCAAUUUUCUGACUUCACUCCUCCUUCCUUCAUACCACCCGAUCAGGAGUCAAUUUUCUGACUUCCUGAGUUGAAGAGAAAGUUGUAGGAGAUUGAAUCUUCCUGUACAAAAGAUUUUUACUCACAAAAAAUAUGCGUUAGAGAAAAUUUGAUAUUUUCAUUUUUUAUUUGGAGAUAGGAAUCUUCCCUGACUAUUGGUGAUUACUUAAAUCAAGAAACACUGAUGAAUCCAACGUGACCAGUUUGCAUCCGUCACGUUUCCACAUGAGAUAUCCUCUAAAAAAUUCCCCUCCAAUUAUAGAAACUCCAACUCAGAUGGUUGUUUGUCUUACGCUUCAUUGAUAUCUUGCCAGAAAGAUAAGUAUAAUGCCUCUCUCUAUUAAUGAAUUUUGCUUCACCAGUUUGUUGAACGUCAUAAUAAUUUCUGAGUAAAGCACACAAAGGAGUAGAAAAAUAUAAAAUGUUUUUAAGAAAUAAGAAAUAAGCAUUCAUUUUUUCUGAAAUCAAUCUGAGUAAAUAUGAAUCUUGGCUCAAAUCGCCUCUCGACGCUGCCUGCAACAGUGUUAUCCGAGUGUUCAACUUGCCGGUCCACAAGACCAACAUCUGGGCACACAGCUGCACUGGCAUUAUCCCGAUCCAGCCAUCGUCGUAGUUGUCGUCUGCGGGUUGGUUAGCGACGACAACAACUCCAAUGCUGGGAGUGGCGUCAUUUUCGGAAAUGUCCUCUUCCUUCAUGAGGUUUAGGUUAUAUUAUUCCCCAACAGAAGUGACUUUCUCCAUAUACGGAGCAUCCUUAUCGUCCUCAGGAAACACAAUGUCAUCGUCGAACGGAACUAUCUACUUCCUCCAACUCUUCGCACAUCUUCAUCAACAGACCAAGCUCCGAAUUAGAAUCUGUAUCUACAAUGUUAAGCUCGUCGGUUCUCGAAACCACUAGCUUCGACUCCAUCGGGUUGUGAAGAUAAUUCUUGUUUCAGCUCCGCGGAAGAAGAAUCAUUGUCAUCACGUUCUGUGUGCUGAACACUGCAAACCGAAAUGCAAUCUAGGGAGGAAACUGCAGUUAAGAAUAAAUGGUGGAGAAAAAUGAUGACAUUUAAGUUAGCUAUGUCACAAAUUCAAGAUUCAUGUCCCAAAUUUAACAAUCUGUAAAUGUCAAUUUUUAGAGAAGUCCACAUGUUCAUGUAGGAGGCCCCGGACUUCCUAUCUUCCAUCAGAGGAAAAAAGAGAGGAUAAACCUAUCCUAGGAUUUUCAAACCUGCUUUUGAACAACAAAUUAUAUAAUAUAGUAAUUUUCGAAGCACUGCAGCUUUAGUGACUUUGUACUAAAAGAAUUAUAUAUGUUGAUAUGGAAAUAGCAAGCAUCCUUGUCACCACGUAAUCAUUAUCAGUACAAUCAUUUUAUCUCUUUUGAAAGGAGAACACAAUACCACUAUUGCGAUACUGAGCAUAGCAAAUUUCAAAACUUGCGUGUUAACAUCCCGUGUAGCUGUUUGGGGGAAGUCGUCGGAUCCGAAGAUAGAAAUCCAAGUGGCUGUGAGGAAGGGUAUAACGCCGCUUUUGUAUAACGCCACUGCUCUCACUGAAGGGUGCCUGAGAUGAGCCAAAAAAUUUGCUACUGCCGGAAUUUACUUUCCUCUGAGCAUCAACUAUGAUGGUGGGACCGGAAGCAAAGGGUUUGGGAUCAAGAUACUUGUUUGUACCCUGUUUUCGAACUUUCAAAGUCUAGCAGUGAUUCAUAUAGUGGAAGAUUUAAGCACGUAACUUUUAAAACUAUCUAUGACCGCCAUGUCCUUUAUGAGUCGUAAAGUAUUUGCAAUAAUGUAUUUUCAACAAAGUAUUUGCAAUAGGCAAUCACUUUCAACCAUUUACGGUUAUGAUCUCAAAAUUACUUCCAAGGCUACUUUUCCAUUCACAAGAAUGCACAUUAAGCCAAAAAUAAAGGUUUCGAUAUAUGCUUUCAUAAUGAAAAUUCCAUCAUUUUUUUAUUAAGGUUUAAGCAGAAUGUAAUUAUCGUUCCUAGGGCUUCACUACAAAAAAUUGUAUAACAUAUUUAAUGCUAAACCGAUAGCAUUACAUAGGGCAAAUACAUAUUCAGAGUGGCAGUGAGUGUUAUCACCAUGAUUUUAUUUUGAAUAUCUGUAUUAAUUAUUGUUGUAACAUCUUCUAUCAUUUACAUAUUUACAUUUUUCUGUUGUUCAUCGUAACACUUGAACAAUGCUCUAAAAUAAUAUAAGAAUUGCCGAUAUUUAAAUAUUUAAAAAUACUUAUCUGGUUGAUGAAAUUUCAGGUGGAUAUAGUAAUCCAUGUUUUGUUUUACUGAAAAUUUCUUGUGUUGAUUCGAAAUAACGAUGUUGAGAUCGAGCAUUCGUCUUGAUUCCUUGCGAUUUCAGCGGGAUGCCGCUCGACCCCACGGUGAGCGCCAAAAUCAGUAACAUUUGUCUGGGGUCGGUCGUCCUUCCUUGUUAUGCUCUGAUCAUCCAACUCUUCAUGUAAUCCUUCCCAAUUGGGGAUUGACCUGCAGAAGACACUCCGACACUCAAGUCAGAUAUAGAGAGGUCAAUAUUUUUAUUAGGAUAGAUCAAGAUGAUCGUACCUGGACAUUAGUGAUAUGCUUAUAAGGCUUGUGACAGCUAACUCUAUUGAUUAACCAUUAGUGCAAUAUAUUUUAGGUAAUCAAAUCCAAUAAUUAAUCAUUAAUAUCAUAUAUUUGUAAAUUAAUACAUGAUAAUUGCCCAUGAAUAACCAUUAACUCCGACCGGUAUGUUUCAUAUAGUACAGACUAUAUUAUGGAAAACUUAUAAGAAAAUUAUAAAAAAUAAAUUAUAUAUGUUUCAUAUAACUAAUCAUAAGAACUAAUAAAACUUAAGAAAUUAUGCUGACCACAACAAUUUAAAUUCAUUAAAAGUACUUUAGCGUAUGACAAUAAUCUAUCUUGACUAGUUAAGGACAAAAUUGCCCAAGUCAAUAAAACUAUAUUAUAGUGCAAAAAUGAAGGACACAUACAAUAAAGAGUUAUCGCUAUUCCUUGUUUAUGAUUCUAAGAAAGAGCACAAUUUUUUAAACAUAACUUUAAUAUUUUCUUCCUAUUCUUCCAUUUAUGGAAGAUGAGUGAUUCUGGUGCAUGAUACGAGAACAAUGAUUUCAACGAGUUAUUUAUGAACAUGAAAAGAUAACAAAAGGUUAAAUAAAAACAGGAUACCAUACCAUUAUUUUAUUUUGAUAACUAUCAAACAUGGCAAAUGGUAAAAUGUUUUUUUUAUUAAUCAUCGAAAUAAGAAAAUUUUUUAAAAAAUCACCAAAUUAUAUUCACGGUGACAUAACUUUAUUGUAAAAAAGUCGUACCAAAAUAACGCUAACUUUAGUUAAGAAUAUUUUUAAAAUUAAAAUCAAGUUAACAAUUUCAUUUUAAAAUAGGUUUAAUCAUUUAGAACAUCUCUAUUUAUGUAAGGUUUUCUCAAUUAGGUUCUCGUUUUGUAAAAUGUCUCAAUUAAGUCCCUAAAUGUGAAAAAUUGGAUCAAUUAAAGGUUUGCCAAAUUGGAUAGACGGCGUUAAAAUUGAGUGUGCGUGGCUGCGUGAGAUUAUUAACUUUUACUGAGCCAACGUGCUGAGUUGGAUUUGUUUUAUUUACAUAUUUAAAAAAAAAACUUAAUAAAAUCAAAACACAUAAUUUCUUCUCCAAGUUUUAGUUAAUUCCCAUGGAAGAUUCAGAGAACCUUAAUCAUAGUCUUUUUUCCAAUUUUGGAUUCUCUUCCUUCAUAGCCAAACCCAAUUUUGGGUUUUUCUCCUUCUCUGUUCAUUCUUUCUCUCGGACAAAACUUAGGCUCUUCGUCUCACACGGAUUAAGGGAGCACGAGCACCCACCUUUGUCUUCUCCUUUCUUUCUUUUCGUUUGGAAACUUCUCCUUUCCCAAAUCAUCUUUGGCCUUGCUUCGUUUCACAUGUUGGAGGCUCUGUUUUCUCCUAUCUCUUCCUUGGGUUCUCGCAUGGUGGUCGUAGGGAGAAAGGCUCGAGUUCGUUGAACCAGGCGCGACAAAGGCACAGUGAGGGCGUUCUCGUAACGGUGGGAAUCGCGGAAGCCUCUUGGUUCAGAGCUCACGGUGGGUGGAGUGCAGACAGUGUCGCAAUGGCGGCAUAGGCGGUGGCGACGUGUUGCGAGAAGUACCGGCGCAGGCGGCGACGACGGGUUGCGAGAGGUACCAGCGUGGUAGCGGAGUGCAUCUUGUUUCCGAUCUUGAAAUUUUUCGGUUUUUGGAAUUUGAAAACCUCUGGGAUUUUAUGUCUUGGAAUCUGAUUCCUAUAAUUGAGUUUGAAAGGAAGGAUUUUUGGUUUCUUCAUUGUCUCUUGAAUUUGUUUUUUUUUAUGCCGUUUUGGAUUCCUUUAUUUCACGGAUUUGGGGUUUCACAGUGGUUGUUGGUGGAUAGCGAGUGGCGUAAAUGGAGAUGGUGGUGGGUGCCGCCAUAGGGUCACUGGGCUGGUGAGGGCAACAACACUCUGUCAAUGAAAUGUCUGAUUAUAAGACAAAGAGAAUUAAAAAUAAUAAGCUUCUAAUUCUAAAAAUAAAUUAAUAAAAAAGAAAUUGGAAAUAACAUUAGGUUUUGAUUACAUUUAAGAUUUUUAAAUAUGUAAAUAAAAUAAAUUCAACUCAGUAUACUAAACUUUGCCACAAUAAUAAAAGUUGAUAAUCUCACCGAGUCACACACAAUCAAGUCGUCCACCCAAUUUAACGGCAAGUCCUUAAUUGAUCCAAUUUUUCACAUUUAGGAACUUGAUCCAAUUUUUCACAUUUAGGAACUUAACUAAGACAUUUUACAAAACGAGGACAUUGAGAAAACUUUCAUAAAUAGAGAUGUUCUAAAUUAUUAAACCUUUAAAAUAUUUUAAACUAAACUUAUUUAAAAUUGAACUAAAAAUUGUGAAAACUUAAUUCGACUUCAAGUUAAAAUACAUUAAACUAAAAUCCUUUAACUUCAAUUUUAAAAAUAUUUUAAAUUUAAAAGAAAAAUUAAAUUCAAGUCAUGUUACGGUAACAGAAUUUCUUCACAUUAUCAUCAUCUUGAGACGACUUACCCACUUUCGUUAUUUCUUUUAAAUCUAUCCAAUUUUAGUAAUUUAAAAAAAAAAUGCACCAUUUUGAUGCUUUUGCAAACAUAUUCAUAUCUACAUGAAAGAAAAAUUACUUAUUCACCUUCAUCCAUUUGAAUAAAGGAAAUGUUUUUUUACUAGUUACACCGUUAUUAAAAAAAUUUAAUUUCUGUAUUUGUAAAGGACGAGAGAGAUUGAUAGAAAAAUAAUAGAUGUAAAGUGUGUCGAUGUAAAAUCAAUAAUAACUUUGAAUAAAUUAAGUGACCGAUGAAUAACUUCUUGUCCUUGGUUAUCGUGACAAUUAAUCUACCGAAGUGUGUAUGAUAGGAAUAUGGGAAAUGGAAGGAUCAGGGAAAACAACCAUAGCCAAAGCCAUCUACAAUCGAAUUUAUCGUGAAUUCAUCGGUAAGAGUUUUAUGGAGAAUAUUCGUUAUGAAAGGUAUGUUUAUAGAAUCAAUCUUCUGAACGAAAAUGAGUCACUAUCGACCACAUCCACACAUAUGAUUGUUAGCAGCAUAAGUACAAUUUUUGGACGUUCUUUAUCCAAACAUUUAUGGACGAGAGUAAAGGCUCAUUGGUCGUUCUUCCUUGUCUUCAACAAAGUCUCCAUCUGCUCUUGAUAUAAGCUUCCUUCAUAUUGAGUCUCCUAAUAGAAUUUUUGUACAAUCUCCCAAGCACCUUGAAAAGCGUAAUUUAAUUAACAAUGCUUUCAUGCAAAGACACCAUUUUUCAUAAUUCUCAAUUGUAUGAUGAGGAAAUUGGAAGAUAGUAUACUCAUGCUUGCCAUCUCUUAACUCUUUUCUCUCUCAACUCUCUCUUUUUUUCCUCUCUCAACUCUCUACAUCAAGCCUAUCACUUGAUACGAACUCUUGAUACAAAGCAAUUGCUUCUAACUUCUGUUGUGUCAUUGUGUAAGUUUUCAACAGAGACAUUUAAUUUCUUGAAUGGUGUGGGACAUAAAAUAUCUAAACUCUCUUUAAAACCUAGAGAUUCAAACGGUUUGAACCUUAAGUUGUUGUCACAAAAGGAAUUGAUCCCUCUUUCUCUUUCAGUAAUUAGCAUAACUGAAUAUCCUCUGUUACAAGAGAGUUAUGAAAGGAAUGGAGGGAUGAAUCUGGCCUAGGAUUUUUCAUAUUCCUUGUUUAUAAAGACCAAUAGAGAAGAAAUAAUGUGAACAACGAGAAAGAGUUUAUCAGAAUUUAUUUUGUUGUAGAAACACUCUAAGUUAAUGUUCAGACUGCUCCUCUGUUUCUCAAUAACGUGAUGUAUUGCUGCUUGGUUUAUACAUUCACUUUAACAAUAGAUUUCAAUUUCUUUGCAUUGUGUUUUUAAAGUGUCAUUAGUUUUAGAAAUGCUUAAAGAUGGAGAAUUCAUUGAUUUAAAAUGAUAAAUUCCUUAACACAGUUUCAUAAGACACGUAAACAAAAUUAUAUAAAGUACCUAACAAACCUGAGGUAAACCUUCCAUUAAAAUUGUUAGAAUGAAAGAAUAAAGAAAGCGAAAAACUAUGAAUUCUACACAACAUCUAAUGUUUUCCAUUAAAAUCUUCAUUAAAUAUUGUUUAAGAUUUUCCUUUUCUAAAUCUUUUUAAUAGUUUUGAUAGAAUAUCAUAAUUUCAUUAAACAUCUUAAUAAAACACCAGAAAUAUUUUAAUAGAAAAAUAAAGUUAUUUAAAACUUUUCAUUGAAAUCGAAAGUGAAUAAUUGCAACUCUUCAAGUGUCUUUCUAAAAAUUUAACGUGCAGGUCUCAAAAAUGAAGUAUGCAUACCGAGAUGGGUUAAGGAGGAAAAAUAUAAAACAUAAAUGGAAUUUAGUAAAGUGAUAUUGGGUGAAUCAUAACGCACUUAGAGCAAAACAUAUUAAUCUUUAACAUUAUUGCCUUACCUUUGAAGAAUUGACUUCAAUUCCUUCGAUGGAGUUUGCAUCUUCUUCUUUAUCAUCAUCAUCUUUAUCCUUCUUAACAUCAGAACCCCAUUUCAAACACGAUGUGUUCAUCAACUUUCGUGGAGAAGAAAUCGGUGGAAGGUUUGUUUCUCAUCUCCACUCUGUCCUUUUACAAGCUCAAGUCAAAACUUUUAUUAGCCAGAAGAAUCUGCAUGAGGGAAUGAAGCAGGAAGAGCACAUGAGAGCAAUAGGACAAACUAAGAUUACAAUAAUCGUUUUCUCCAAAUCAUAUACUGAAUCUGCUUGCUGUCUUUUUGAGCUUGAAAAAAUAAUUGAAUGCCACGAGACAUUUGGCCAAAUAGUUCUGCCCGUAUUUUACGAGAUUGACCCAUCGGAUGUACGUUAUCAGAAGGAUGACUUUGGAAAAGCGUUAGAAGAAGCUGCUCACAAAAGCUAUUCAGGACAUGCGUUGUCCAGGUGGAGGCUUGCACUCAUCACAGCUGCAGGUAUCCCUUGUUGGGAUGUCAGAAAUUUCAGGUAAACCAAUGAAUCCUUCCUAUUUUCUUUGGUUUGAGAGUGAAUGAAGCAUAAGUUAAAGUUGUGAUUUAAUUUUGGUAACACAUUAUCAUUCAUCUUGAAGGCAUGAUGCUGCACUUGUAGAUAAAAUUGUUAGGCGCGUUAAGAAAUUACUGGACUACAAAGACUUGUUUAUUACCCACUAUCCUGUUGGAUUAGAGUCCCGCGUGGAAGACGUGAUUAAAUAUAUUGAAAAUCAAUCCACCAAAGUGUGUAUUAUAGGAAUAUGGGGAUUCCGAGGAUCAGGUAAAACAACCCUAGCCAAAGCCAUCUACAAUCGAAUUUAUCGUGAAUUCAUAGGUAAGAGUUUUAUUGAGAAUAUUCCUGAUGAAAAGUAUGUAGCUUUGCAAGAAAAUCUUCUUUCUGAUGUCCUAAAAUCCAAGUUGGAGGUGAAAAGCGUUGGGAUGGGAAGAACUAUGAUCGAGAAUGGAUUUUCUCGAAAAAAGUUGCUCAUUGUGCUUGAUGAUGUGAAUGAGUUUGGCCAAAUGGAAAACCUAUGCGGGAGUCCUGAAUGGUUCGGUCAAGGAACUGUGAUAAUUAUUACAACUAGAGAUCUUCACUUACUGAAACAACUCGAAAAUAAUUAUGUUUAUGAAAAUGAAUCACUUGAGCUUUUAUGUUGGCAUGCCUUUAGAGAUGCAAUACCAAAAAAAGAAUCGAAGGAACUUGCAAGAGACAUAGUUGAUUAUUGUGGAGGACUACCACUGGCUCUUCAGUUCCUUAGUUCCUAUUUAUGUGAUAAAACCAUAGAAGGGUGGAAAAGUGUAUUGAGGAAAUUACAAAGAAUACACGGGGAUAAUCUUCUGAAGGUAUUAAAAAUAAGUUUUGACGGUUUACGUGAUACUGAAAAGGAUAUACUUCUUGAUCUAUGUUGUUUCUUUAAAGGCAAAGAAAAAGACUAUGUAACCGAUAUAUUAAAUGGCUGUGGACUACGUGCUGAUAUUGGAAUAACAGUUCUCAUACAGCGUGGCCUCAUAAAAGUUGACAGAAAUAACAAACUUCAAAUGCAUCCUUUGUUACAAUACAUGGGAAGAGAAAUUAUUCGUCAAGUAUGCCCAGAGGAACCGGGGAAAAGGACUCGAUUGUGGUUGCAGGAUGACGUAAAAGAUGUACUGAUACAGAAUUCUGUAAGAAAAUUAUUUAUAUGAUUUUGAAACUUCUUUUUGAAAGUGUUUUCUUUAGUAAUGUAACUGAACUUAAAUUUCAAAAAUUUAUUAAUAAUUUUGUUUAUAUUUUAUUUUAUUAGUUUAGAUCUAAUAAUAUUUAAUUUAAUUUUGAUAAACAUAAGAGGUGAGUAAAUAAUUUUAAUUUUUCAUUUAUUUUUAUUUAAGUGUAAUAUUAUUUUAUUUGGUUUAUAUUAAAUAGAGAUAGAUUAAAUAGUUGUUUUUAUUUUAAAUUACUUAUAUUUUAUUUUGAAUUUUUAUUAUUUGUAUUUGAUGGAAAAUCUUAUUUAUAGUUAUUUAAAUAUUAUUAAGGUUAAAUGAAAAUAAGAGUGGAAAUUGAAAAGUAUUAUCAUACUAACAAUGGAUGUUGUUAACUUGUUAAACUCAAUGUUAAGUAUCAAUAAUCAACAAAUAUUUAUGGAUUUCUCAAUUGUUUAUCUUUACUAUAUUCAUCACAGGGGACAGAAGUUAUCCAGGGAUUGUCCCUGAAAUUGCAUUCAACAAACAGAGACUGCUUCAAGGCUGAUGCUUUCAAGGAAAUGAAGAAAUUAAGACUUGUACGACUAGAUCAUGUACAAGUUGUUGGAGAUUAUGGGCACAUUUCUAAAGAACUGAGAUGGAUUUGCUGGAAGGGAUUCCCUUCUGAAUACAUUCCAAACAACUUGUACAUGGGAAAUGUAAUUGCAAUUGAUUUAAGGCAUAGUCAUCUUCAACUCCUCUGGAAAACAUCCCAGGUAUUUUUUAAAACUCGUAGGUUAAUUAAGUAGAAAUAGUAUUAUUGGUUCCAGUUCUAACUAUUGAAUUCUUUUUACAUUUACUUCCCAAAUCUUUUGUAAACUAUGUUCGUAGAUUUUAGAACGGUUACAAUUCCUUAAUCUUAGUCACUCCAAAGACUUGGAAGAAACACCAGACUUUUCCAAAUUACCAAGUCUUGAACAGCUCAUUCUAAAAGAUUGUCCAAGUUUGCUCACGGUACACCCAUCCAUUGUUGGUCUCUCCAACAUACGAGUGAUAAAUUUGAAGGAUUGCAAAAGUCUACGCUAUCUUCCAAGAGAGGUAUAUAAGUUGAGAUCUUUAAAAACUCUCAUCCUAUCUGGUUGUUCGAAGCUUGACCAUUUAAAUAUAGCAGAGGUGAAAUCCUUGUUAAAUAUAAUUUGCUUAGAACAAAACUGUGAAACAAACAUUGAUGAAUUGUAAGCUAAAAGAAUAUCAGAUAUAAAUCCCAACGUGAAUUUGAAGGAUUGUUGGUAUAUAUUUGGUGUUAGGCUAUACGUAGCAUUUAUUUGUUGGUAGACUAAACUUUAGGAGAAUAAUAACAAUCAAUUUGAGAAUCUCAAUUUGUUUUUUUACUGCAAGUAUUAUAAAUAAUUGGCGGUUCGUAUAUAUUGAGAAUAAUAACUUUACUUUUAUUUCAACUCCUAUAUUCUCUCUUUCAGAAUUUUAUUUCCUCUGUUUUAUUUUGCUACCUAACAUUAUUCUGUAAAACAACAAUUGGUAUCAUAAGAACGUUAUUCAAAUUAGGAUUAACCAAUAUAAAAAUUAUAUUAUUAUGGAACCUUUUUAUUGCACGUACAUUACUUUAUUAUUAUUACUCCUUUCAACACGUCUUAUAAAUGUGUUUUAUAAUAAUAUCAUCUGACGAUUCCUCUUUAUGUUUGCUUGGUCAUUUGAAAAAUUAUUUUACAAAAAUGUCAUUAUUAUCUUUUUUCCAAUUCUUUAUUUCUUGAGCUAAUUUCUUCUUUCAUCAUUCUUCCUUUUUACUGCAUGAACUUUUUUAUCUGAUCACAUCGGUAUAAGAUAGGUGCUCUAUACAUUUGUUUUGGUUUUUGUAAUGUAACCAUUAGCAAUGCAUGAAUAUCUCUAUUGUUGAUUGUAGACGUUAACAUUUUUGUAAAUUUGUUUAAAAGUAAAGUAUACUCUCUCCAUUUUUAAAAUUUUAAUAAUGUUUAAAAAUAUAUGAACUAAAUUUUAAAUUGUUCAAUACUUCUUUAGAUAGAAUUAUGUCUCUUAGUCUAAAUUUGGAUCUUAUCUUGUGAAGAACAAGUGUCAAUCUUUCUUUGGAUUCUUUCAAGUGACAUGUCUUCUCAUCCAUAACUUUCCUUUCCUUUCUCUUUUACAUUUUUAGUCUUUUAAUUUCAUUUCUUAAUUCUUUUUAUUUAGUUCUUAAACUGAUUUCUAUCUAGGGAUGUUGUUCCAUAUACCGUAUCAUUUCAAGAGUUAAGGAAGGUGAUUGGAAUGAAGGAAGGAGGAUUUUAAGUUUACGAUGAGAGAGUUUUGUUAGAUAAAUUAAAAAAAAAAAAUCUAAAAUUAAGAGGGGCUAAAAUUAGAAUUUCAUUUUGGUUCAUUUAAUUGUUGUUAUGCCUUUCACUUAAAGCUUGUCACAACUGUUUUUAUUUUUUCGUUUUUGGUUUUCAAUAACAGCUUAGUAGCUGUUUUUAAUUUUCUGAGUCGGUAUUAUUUGUUGCUGUUAUGUAUAAACAUGCGGCCCUUUGCCCAUUUGUGUGGCUAUUUAAAGUCACCACUGUUAAUGCAAAUAUGAACAACUGCAAAGAGUUUAUCAGAAUUUAUAACUUGUCUAACUCAUGAUAAAUCAUGCUCCAUUUAUUUUAAUUAAAUUUUGUUGUAGAAACUAGUCUAAGUUACUGCUCCUCUGUUUCUGAAUAAUGUAUUGCAUUGUUGCCUGGUUUAUACCUUCACUCUUUUACAAUAAAUUUCAGUUUCAUUGCGUUGUGUUUUUAAAUAGUCAUUCGUUUUAGCAAUGCUUAAAGAUGGAGAAUUCAUUUAUUUAAAAUGGCUUUUUGGGAAGCAGUUUGUUAUCUAACAACGAUAAUUUCUUCACUUAGUUAAAAAAAUGAAAAACUCCUUGACACAGUUUCAUAAGAAACAUAAACAAAAAUUAUAUAAAGUACCUAACAAACCUGAGGUAAAACUUCCAUUAAAAUUUUAUGUUAGAAUGAAAGAAUAAAGAAAGCGAAAAACAAUGAAUUCGACACAACAUCUAAUGUUUUCCUUCAAAAUCUUAAUUAAAUAUUGUUUAAGUUUUUCCUUUUCUAAAUCCUUUUAAUACUUUUGAAAGAAUAUAUAAUUUCUUUAAAAAUCUUAAUUAAAGAAAUCCUUUUCUAAAAAUCCUUUUAACACCAGAAAUAUUUUAAUAAAAAAACUUUAUUUUAAAUUUUUCUUUGAAAUCGAAAGUGAAUAAUUGCAACUCUUAAAGUGUUUUUCUAAAAAUUUAACGCGCAGGUCGAUAAAAUUUAAAUAUGCAUACCUAGAUAGGUUCAGGAGGAAAAAAUAUAAAAUAUAAAUGGUAUUUGAUUCUGGGUGAGUGAUAACGCGAGACUACGUCUAAAACAUAUUAAUCUUCAACAUUUUUGAAGAGUUGACUUCAAUUUCUUCCAUGGAGUUUGCAUCUUCUUCUUUAUCAUCGUCAUCUUCAUCGUUCUUAACAUCAGAACCUCAUUUCAUAUACGAUGUGUUCAUCAACUUUGGUGGAGAAGAAAUCGGUAGAAGGUUUGUUUCUCAUCUCCUCUCUGUCCUUUUACAAGCUCAAGUCAAAACCUUGAUUAGCCAGGAGAAUCUGCAUGAGGUAAUGAAGCUGGAAGAGCACAUGAGAGCAAUAGGACACACUAAGAUUACAAUAAUCGUUUUCUCCAAAUCAUACACUCAAUCGUCUUGCUCUCUUCUUGAGCUUGAAAAAAUCAUUGAAUGCCACGAAACAUUUGGCCAAAUAGUUCUGCCCGUAUUUUACGAGAUUGACCCAUUGGAUGUACGUCAUCAAAAGGAUGAUUUUGGAAAAGCGUUGGAAGACACUACACACAAAAGCUAUUCAGGAGAACAACUGCAACAUGUGCGGUCCAAGUGGAGCAGUGCACUGAACAGAGUUGCAGAUAUGACUGGUUGGAAUGACAGAGAUUUCAGGUAAGCAAAUGGGUCCUUCGUACUUUCUUUGGUUUGAGAGUGAAUGAAGCAUAAAUUAAGGUUGUGAAUUAAUUUUGGUAACACAUUAUCAUUCAUCUUGAAGACAUGAUGCUGAACUUGUGGAGCGAAUUGUUAGCCGAGUUAAGACAUUACUGGACUAUAAAGACUUGUUUAUUACCCAAUAUCCUGUUGGAUUGGAGUCCCGCGUGGAAGACAUGAUUAAAGGGAUUGAAAAACAAUCUACCAAAGUGUGUAUGAUAGGGAUAUGGGGAAUGGGAGGAUCGGGUAAAACAACCAUAGCCAAAGCCACCUACAAUCGAAUUUGUCGUGAAUUCAUUGGUAAGUGUUUUAUAGAGAAUAUUAGUUAUGCUUGGGAUCCAGAAAAUAAGAAUGAAUGGUAUGUUGCUUUGCAAGAAAAUCUUCUUUCUGAUGUCCUAAAAUCCAAGUUGAAGGUGAAAAGCGUUGGG
rnacentral:lncRNA from 1 species